rnacentral:rRNA from 1 species
AGUGAACGCUGGCGGUAGGCCUAACACAUGCAAGUCGAACGGCAGCACAGUAAGAGCUUGCUCUUACGGGUGGCGAGUGGCGGACGGGUGAGGAAUACAUCGGAAUCUACUUUUUCGUGGGGGAUAACGUAGGGAAACUUACGCUAAUACCGCAUACGACCUACGGGUGAAAGCAGGGGAUCUUCGGACCUUGCGCGAUUGAAUGAGCCGAUGUCGGAUUAGCUGGUUGGCGGGGUAAAGGCCCACCAAGGCGACGAUCCGUAGCUGGUCUGAGAGGAUGAUCAGCCACACUGGAACUGGGACACGGUCCAGACUGCGGCGGGAGGCAGCAGAGGGGAAUAUUGGACAAUAGGCGCAAGCCUGAUCCAGCCAUACCGCGUAGGUGAAGAAGGCCUUCGGGUUGUAAAGCCCUUAUGUUGAAAAAGAAAAGCAGCAGAUUAAUACCCCGCUGUUCUGACGGUACCCAAAGAAUAAGCACCGGCUAACUUCGUG